UACGUAGGGUGCGAGCGUUGUCCGGAAUUAUUGGGCGUAAAGGGCUCGUAGGCGGUUUGUCGCGUCGGGAGUGAAAACCAGGUGCUUAACACCUGGCUUGCUUUCGAUACGGGCAGACUAGAGGUAUGCAGGGGAGAACGGAAUUCCUGGUGUAGCGGUGAAAUGCGCAGAUAUCAGGAGGAACACUGGUGGCGAAGGCGGUUCUCUGGGCAUUACCUGACGCUGAGGAGCGAAAGUGUGGGGAGCGAACAGG
rnacentral:rRNA from 1 species